rnacentral:rRNA from 1 species
GUUCCGUAGGUGAACCUGCGGAAGGAUCAUUACUGAGUUAGGGUGCUCUGCGCCCGAUCUCCAACCCUUUGUUUAACUACUUUGUUGCUUUGGCAGGCCCGUCCUUCGGGGCCGCCGGGGGCGUUCAGUCGCCUCUGGCCCGUGCUCGCCAGUGGCCAAUUUAAAUUCUUCUUAACAAUGAAGUCUGAAUCUUAAUUAAAAUUUAAUUAAAACUUUCAACAACGGAUCUCUUGGUUCUGGCAUCGAUGAAGAACGCAGCGAAAUGCGAUAAGUAAUGUGAAUUGCAGAAUUCAGUGAAUCAUCGAAUCUUUGAACGCACAUUGCGCCCUUUGGUAUUCCGAAGGGCAUGCCUGUUCGAGCGUCAUUAUCAACCCUCAAGCCCGGCUUGUUAUUGGGUCCUGUAUCGUCAAAGAUAGGCUCAAAAGAUAAUGGCGGCGUCAAGAAUGACCCCAGGUGCAGCGAGCUUAUAGCAUACACUGAGGUGGUUCUCUUGGCCCGGCCUUUUGUUUUGGUUAAAUUCAUUUAACCAAUCAUUUUCUAAGGUUGACCUCGGAUCAGGUAGGAAUACCC